ACACAUGCAAGUCGAACGAGAAUCUACUGAAAGAGUUUUCGGACAAUGGAAGUAGAGGAAAGUGGCGGACGGGUGAGUAACGCGUGAGGAACCUGCCUUGAAGAGGGGGACAACAGUUGGAAACGACUGCUAAUACCGCAUGAAGCAUAGGGGUCGCAUGAUCUUUAUGCCAAAGAUUUAUCGCUUCAAGAUGGCCUCGCGUCUGAUUAGCUAGUUGGCGGGGUAACGGCCCACCAAGGCGACGAUCAGUAGCCGGACUGAGAGGUUGAACGGCCACAUUGGGACUGAGAUACGGCCCAGACUCCUACGGGAGGCAGCAGUGGGGAAUAUUGGGCAAUGGGCGCAAGCCUGACCCAGCAACGCCGCGUGAAGGAAGAAGGCUUUCGGGUUGUAAACUUCUUUUAAGAGGGAAGAGCAGAAGACGGUACCUCUAGAAUAAGCCACGGCUAACUACGUGCCAGCAGCCGCGGUAAUACGUAGGUGGCAAGCGUUGUCCGGAUUUACUGGGUGUAAAGGGCGUGCAGCCGGGUCUGCAAGUCAGAUGUGAAAUCCAUGGGCUCAACCCAUGAACUGCAUUUGAAACUGUAGAUCUUGAGUGUCGGAGGGGCAAUCGGAAUUCCUAGUGUAGCGGUGAAAUGCGUAGAUAUUAGGAGGAACACCAGUGGCGAAGGCGGAUUGCUGGACGAUAACUGACGGUGAGGCGCGAAAGUGUGGGGAGCAAACAGGAUUAGAUACCCUGGUAGUCCACACUGUAAACGAUGAAUACUAGGUGUGCGGGGACUGACCCCCUGCGUGCCGCAGUAAACACAAUAAGUAUUCCACCUGGGG
rnacentral:rRNA from 1 species